rnacentral:rRNA from 1 species
CCUACGGGUGGCAGCAGUGAGGAAUAUUGGUCAAUGGGCGCGAGCCUGAACCAGCCACGUAGCGUGAAGGCUGACUGCCCUACGGGUGGUAAACUUCUUUUAUAAAGGAAUACAGUGAGGCACGUGUGCCUUUUAGGAUGUAUUUUAUGAAUAAGGAUCGGCUAACUACGUCACAGACGCCGCGGUAAUACGGAGGACACGAGUGUUAUCCGGAUUUAAUGGGUUUAAAGGGAGCGUAGAUGGUUUGUUAAGUCAGUUGUGAAAGUUUGCGGAUCAACCGUAAAAGUGCAAUUGAUAGUGGCAGACUAGAGGACAGUUGAGGUAGGCGGAAGUCGUUGUGUAGCGGUGAAAUGCUUAGAUAGUACGAAGAACUCCGAUGGCGAAGGCAGCCUACUAAACUGCCACUGACAUUGAUGCUCGAAAGUGUGGGUAUCAAACAGGAUUAGAUACCCUGGUAGUC